AACGAACGCUGACGGCGUGCCUAACACAUGCAAGUCGAACGAGAAAAUUCCGGCUUGCCGGGAUGAGUAAAGUGGCGCACGGGUGAGUAACGCGUGGGUUAUCUGCCUUCAAGUUAGGGAUAACACUGCGAAAGCGGUGCUAAUACCUGAUAAGCUCACAGUCUUAAAAACAGUGGGAAAAGGUGGCCUCUGACAUAAGCUAUCGCUUGAAGAUGAGCUCGCGUACCAUUAGCUAGUUGGUAGGGUAAUGGCCUACCAAGGCAACGAUGGUUAGCUGGCCUGAGAGGGCGGCCAGCCGACACUGGAACUGAGAUACGGUCCAGACUCCUACGGGAGGCAGCAGUGGGGAAUAUUGCGCAAUGGGGGAAACCCUGACGCAGCGACGCCGUGUGAGUGAUGAAGGUUUUCGGAUCGUAAAGCUCUGUCGGAUGGGACGAAUAAGAGUUGAGUAAAUAAUUCAAUUCGAUGACGGUACCGUCGAAGGAAGCACCGGCUAACUCCGUG
rnacentral:rRNA from 1 species